CAGCCCCUUCCUUAACAUCAAACGAAGCCGUCUCUCUCUCUCUUCCCUUACCGAAACGAUCCCACCUCAUUUCACUCCAAAAGAAAGAGAAGGAAGCUCCCCUCACACGGAUUGACCCACACUUCUACAAAUAAACCCUCACUCUCAUCUUUAAUCACUGACACCUCCAGAAAUACACACCUACUCACGAACACAUACAAAAAAGCUAGGAAACUUUUCUUGAAUUAAAAAGUUUUCGCUCAGAUCUGCAGUUCUUAAAACAUCAAAUUAUUUUAGUUUAUCACAUGAUUUCUGGAAUUUUGAAGGUAGAUUGAGCAUCUAAAAUGUUGUUGCUUUGUUGUCCUUCGCUGAAAAUCAAUGGUCUAAACUCUAUUCUCACAUCCCAGCUUUUAUUUGGUUGUUCGCUCUUGUAUUUCCUACUGAGAGGUGUAGAUAGGCGAGGUGAGGACCAUCCACUGUAGGCUGCCUCCAUAUAUCAGCUUUUGGUUGGUGAGCUCCACAUCUUCCUGGAGUAUUGUCGAGUCAUGUUCUAUAUAUGUUACUUUGUUUUAUGAAGAUGUCGGGGACCCUGUCUCAACUUAUAUAUUAUGAUCAUGUUUUCUUAGAGGUUUUGCAGACAGUGUCCUGUGUAUAGCUUUAGGUAUGACAUGUCAACGGCCUUGACGGCCCCUAUAUAUCUAUAUAAAUCUUUUGAAUUAGUUAUGUGA